UUCCUGCCAUGGCAGGGAAUGGGGCUGGAUGGGCUUUAAGGCCCCUUCCAACACAAACCAUUCUGGAAUUCCAUGAUUCUGUAUUGUUUAGGAAUGUGACAUUUCCUUGGCACCUUUUGGUGCCUUACUGAAUCUCUGCACUCAUGAUUUGCUUUCAUUUGAGCUUGGGGGUGGCACAGGUGAUGCUGCAGCACCACCAGGCAGGAUUGUUCUCUUUGGGCCUGUCUAGAGCCCAUGGGGAUUUCUGCAGUAAAGCCCACAAAAGCCUGGGAUAGAAAAUGCUCCCAAAGUAAGCUUGUGCAUGCCUUGCUUGUGUCCUUCCUGCAGCAUUCCAGUGGAGCCUGGCUGCUCCUUGCUUGGUGCUCACUCCAGCACCUUGGGGCAGUGCUUGGCCGUGCUCGGUGUUGCUCCAGACGUGGCUCAGAUGGAUUCCUGCAUAAGGAAGGGAGAGUGUUGGAAUGCCCCAGGUGUGUCCUGUGUGUGCUGAGGGCACAGCUGUGCAGGUUUUUAGGGCCAAAUCCUGCAUUUUUGGCUUCUCUUGGAAGCCUGGGCACAAAGCACUUGACUGCAGCUGGGAAUUCAUCACCUCUCUCCCUGGACAUGCAAAUUUUACUGGAGCUCCGUCAGCUAACUUCCUGAAUUCCCUGUUAGCAGAUGCUGAUGCAGAUGUAAGAAUUAUUUUAAUUUCUCUCAGCAAUGAAAUGAAACAGAACAUGACCAGAGCUCCAGAAGAAGGAAAAACGUGUUUGCUGGAGGGCAGGAAAACCCUGGAGCUGCUGAUAACUACAAGGCAUUCUCAUGAAACCAGAAAAAGUGGAUUAAAAGGAAUGAGGUUAUGGAGCAUGAAAAAAUAUUCCAAAACAAGUAUGGAGGAGGAAAGAGGAGUUUCUGUUCUGACCCUGGACAAAAUAAGCCAAGCUUGGGAGCUGCCAUGGAGCUGCCUUUGGAUUCAGUGUCUAGACACCAGGAGAGCCUGGAGGAGAGUUUGGCAUAAACCAGACAAUCCAUUCAGUUGUGCAACUCUCUCAAUACCCCAUGGCUCUGAAGUUAUGAAUUUGAGCAAAAUGUUCUUGGGCAAUUUUCUGUACUUAUUUGAAAGAGGAAUUUGAUUAGAACAAUAGUUAUAGAAUUAAGAACAACUCCCACCCUGGCACUGAAAAAAGAAAUAACCAAAACCAAACACUCAGUUGUAUGCUCUGAGUAACAACCUCUGGACUCAGAUGGAGAGACAGGACUUGGGAUCAGUGAUCUCAUUCCACAGGGUGUUUGUACCUUGGCAGAUGGAUGGAUCCUGUGCUAAGGAAAUAUCAACUGUACUCAGUGCCUGCUGCUUAAAUCACAGUGCUUGAAACUGGAGCCAGAGAGAGAUGGUCCCACAGCAGCAGGGCUGGGAAGGGGCUCCACCUUCCUGCAGGACUGGAUUCCUGUUCAAAGCCCUUUUACAUAAACCACUGGGGUAGGAAAUAACACAAAUCCAAAAUAUUUCCAAUGUGCAUUCUCUCCCUGGAGCAGGCCUAUUGGGAUUUCUCACUGACUGCUUGCUAAACUCAUGGAAUCCUGGAAUAAUUUGGGUGGGAACUUUGAGAUCAUCUAAUCCACUCCUUGCCAUGGGCAGGGGCACCUUCCCCUAUCCCAGGGGGCUCCAAGCCCUGUCCAGCCUGGCCUUGGGCACUGCCAGGGAUCCAGGGGCAGCCACAGCUUCUCUGGGCUCUCUGUGCCAGGGCCUGCCCACCCCACAGGGAACAAUUCUCUCCCAGUAUCCCAUCUUACCCUGGCUUCUGUUUGAAACCAUUUCCCCUUGUCCUGUAUGAAAGGUCCCUCUCCCUCCUUCUUACAGGCCCCCUUAGGCACUGGAAGGGGCUGGAAGGGGCUCCAAGGUCUCCAGAGCCAACUCUUUUCCAGGCUGAACACCCCCAGCUCUCCCAGCCUGUCUUUGUGGAGUGGAAAUUCAGUGAAUCAGUUUUAGAUGUCAGUCAGGAUGACAUUUGAACUGUUGCUGGACCAUGUUCCAGCUGGGAUGUUCAGUGUCUCUGGUUUUCCCCACAUCUCAGCACCAGGCACAGGGAAUGCAGUUACUGCUCCGUCAGUUCUCACUGGAGACCAGAGCACGGCCCAAAGUCUCUGCUGGAUUAAGGGAAUACAGUGCCAAAGGCCCCCCAGAACUCCCUCAUCUUCACUGCUGAGGAAACUGGAUCCCAGUUAACCCCAGGUGUUUGUACAGAACAGGGGCAGCAGCAGGAAUAACAACCCCCAGUGCCUCAGGCCUGGAACAUGAAAUCCACAUUUAGACAUCUUCUAGCAGCCCUGGGGGACUCAUCCUGAACCCCACUGCAUCCAGGAUGCUCUCACUGAGGUGCUCUUUGGGGUUUGGACACAAAAUAUUUCAGCUCUUGGAAUUUCCCAUUGCUGGGCUGAGGAACAAUUUAAUGGGGGAGAAAAGGUUUCUGUAUUGCAGACAUUUUUCUUCUUAUUAAAUAUAUCCUGUAGAUGUAUCCUGGAUGUGAAGAGACUUUCUCUAAAAGCAGCUUUUAGCAGGAGUUGAUAAAGUUGCACUAAAAAGCUGUAACAGAACUGGGACUUCACCCCAGGUCAGUGCUCUGGUCCAGUUCUUUCCCAGAAUGAGGAGUCCUGGAUUAAUGGGAAGUCACACAAAUGGGGCUUCAGCCCAAAGCUCUCCAGCUCCAUGGGCUCUCCCUCUCCCACUGCAGCUCUCCUGGAAUUUGGGACCUUUCCAGCAGCACAAGCAACAAACCACAAUCAGCUUUUGAGGAGUCUUUUUUAUUAAGAUAAAUCCAGCAAAAUUCCUAACAGUGGGUACAUACAACCAACCUGCCCUUUUUGAAAAGAAAUGUUUGUAUUUCAUUUAAAAACAGGAUUACACUUUUAUUUAUUUAUUUUUCUUUUUUUUUUUUUCCAAAACUGACAAAAUAAAAUUA